rnacentral:rRNA from 1 species
GAUGAACGCUGGCGGCGUGCCUAAUACAUGCAAGUCGAGCGAAAAGACGAGGAGCUUGCUCCUCUGACGUUAGCGGCGGACGGGUGAGUAACACGUGGAUAACCUACCUAUAAGACUGGGAUAACUUCGGGAAACCGGAGCUAAUACCGGAUAAUAUAUUGAACCGCAUGGUUCAAUAGUGAAAGACGGUUUUGCUGUCACUUAUAGAUGGAUCCGCGCCGCAUUAGCUAGUUGGUAAGGUAACGGCUUACCAAGGCGACGAUGCGUAGCCGACCUGAGAGGGUGAUCGGCCACACUGGAACUGAGACACGGUCCAGACUCCUACGGGAGGCAGCAGUAGGGAAUCUUCCGCAAUGGGCGAAAGCUUGACGGAGCAACGCCGCGUGAGUGAUGAAGGUCUUCGGAUCGUAAAACUCUGUUAUUAGGGAAGAACAAAUGUGUAAGUAACUAUGCACGUCUUGACGGUACCUAAUCAGAAAGCCACGGCUAACUACGUG